UACGUAGGGGGCUAGCGUUAUCCGGAAUUACUGGGCGUAAAGGGUGCGUAGGUGGUUUCUUAAGUCAGAGGUGAAAGGCUACGGCUCAACCGUAGUAAGCCUUUGAAACUGGGAAACUUGAGUGCAGGAGAGGAGAGUGGAAUUCCUAGUGUAGCGGUGAAAUGCGUAGAUAUUAGGAGGAACACCAGUUGCGAAGGCGGCUCUCUGGACUGUAACUGACACUGAGGCACGAAAGCGUGGGGAGCAAACAGGAGUAGAUACCCUAGUAGUCCCUGACU
rnacentral:rRNA from 1 species